AUUGAACGCUGGCGGCAGGCCUAACACAUGCAAGUCGUGCGAGCGGCGGACGGGUGAGUAAUGUAUGUGGAUCUGCCUGAUGGAGGGGGAUAACUACUGGAAACGGUAGCUAAUACCGCAUACCAUCAGAUGUACCCAUAUGGGAUUAGCUAGUAGGUGAGGUAACGGCUCACCUAGGCGACGAUCCCUAGCUGGUCUGAGAGGAUGAUCAGCCACACUGGGACGGAGACACGGCCCAGACUCCUACGGGAGGAAGCAGUGGGGAAUAUUGGACAAUGGGCGCAAGCCGGAGGCAGCCAUGCCGCGUGUAUGAAGAAGGCCUUCGGGUUGUAAAGUACUUUCAGUCGGGAGGCGUUACCGACAGAAGAAGCACCGGCUAAAAAAGUGCCAGCAGCCGCGGUAAUUC
rnacentral:rRNA from 1 species